GAUGAACGCUGACAGCAUGCUUAACACAUGCAAGUCAACUGUGGCGGACGGGCGAGUAACGCGUAAAGAACUUGCCUCACGGAUAGGGACAACAUUUGGAAACGAAUGCUAAUACCUGAUACUGUGAGAGAGCUUUGCGUCCCAUUAGCUCGUUGGAGAGGUAGCGGCUCACGAAGGCGACGAUGGGUAGCCGGCCUGAGAGUGUGAUCGGCCACAAGGGGACUGGGGCGCGGGCCGUACGCCUACGGGAGGAAGCAGUGGGAGAUAUUCGACAAUAGACCAAAGUCUGAUCAAGGAAUUCGGUGUGGACGAUGAAGUUUUCGAGAUGAAAAAUGCUUUCAGUUGGGAAGCGGUACCUACAGAAGAAGUGACGGCUAACUACGUGCCAGCAGCCGCGGUAAUAC
rnacentral:rRNA from 1 species